rnacentral:rRNA from 1 species
UKAAGCGAGGAGGAGGCUACUCUAGUUAAUACCUAGGGAUAGUGGACGUUACUCGCAGAAUAAGCACCGGCUAACUCUGUGCCAGCAGCCGCGGUAAUACAGAGGGUGCGAGCGUUAAUCGGAUUUACUGGGCGUAAAGCGUGCGUAGGUGGCCAAUUAAGUCAAAUGUGAAAUCCCCGAGCUUAACUUGGGAAUUGCAUUCGAUAGCUGGUUGGCUAGAGUAUGGGAGAGGAUGGUAGAAUAAGGGCGAAGGKCGCGGCCGCUAAAUU